rnacentral:rRNA from 1 species
UACGGAAGGCGGCAGUGGGGAAUAUUGCACAAUGGGCGCAAGCCUGAUGCAGCCAUGCCGCGUGUAUGAAGAAGGCCUUCGGGUUGUAAAGUACUUUCAGUCGUGAGGAAGGUGUUAAGGUUAAUAACCUUAGCAAUUGACGUUAGCGACAGAAGAAGCACCGGCUAACUCCGUGCCAGCAGCCGCGGUAAUACGGAGGGUGCGAGCGUUAAUCGGAAUUACUGGGCGUAAAGGGCACGCAGGCGGUUAAUUAAGUUGGAUGUGAAAUCCCCGGGCUUAACCUGGGAAUGGCAUUCAAGACUGGUUAGCUAGAGUCUUGUAGAGGGGGUAGAAUUCCAUGUGUAGCGGUGAAAUGCGUAGAGAUGUGGAGGAAUACCGGUGGCGAAGGCGGCCCCUGGGACAAAGACUGACGCUCAUGUGCGAAAGCGUGGGGAGCAAAC